AUGGCAGCCACGCCAGCGACACCACAGGUGCACAUCGAGUCCAUACAGACGGGCUUGCCGACUCGCGCCAUUGAGCCAGACAGGACGCGCCACAUCGCUGUGACCGCGCCGCCACUCCCGGAGACCGCGCUGCAGUGGCGCCUCCGCGUGGUGCUGUACUACAGCGCCGAUGACGCGCCGUGGGAGGAAGGUAUAUGGGUAAGGGAGUCGCUGGGCGAGGCGCUGUGCUUCUUCCCGGAGAUGGCGGGCAGGCUCCGGCGCCGGGCCGACGGGGACGGGUCGUGGGAGGUGAAGCUGAACGACGCAGGGGUGAGGUUCCAGCAGGCGACGGUGGAGAUGAGCAUGGAGGCUUUCCUGGCGGACAAGGACCGGGCGCGGAAGGAAGCCGCGCUGGCGCCGUGGGUCGACGUGAGCGCCGAGGAUCCUGAUAUGUGCUCGCUCCUCUUCAUGCAGCUGAAUCGAUUCCAGGACGGGGGAUACGCCAUGGGAGUGAGCUGCACGGUGCUGCUGUGUGACCCGCUGUCGCUGGCGAGGUUCCUCCUCACCUGGGCGCGCACGCACAAGGAGAUCAAGGAGCAAAACAAGCUCGUCCUCAGGCCGAUGAUGCAGUACAUGGCAUACUUCGAGCGGCCGGAGAUCUGCUCCAAGCGCAACAGGUCCUUCCCCAUCGACAAUGUCGCCGCCGACGGUGUCCACGCCCAGACCGUGCUCUUCAGGACCACUGCCGGCGCCGCGACCGGCGACCUCCGCACGCUCGCUGCGGCAUGUAUCGACCAGGCGAGCAAGGAGCUCGAGGUGGACAGGGUGUCGCGGUUCACGCUCGUCGUCGCCCCCUGAGACUCCGCCCGUGGAGCGACGAUCGUCGAGACGUCGCUCACGGCGGAUGGCCUGAAGAAGGGUGGCGCCGGCCAUGCGCUGGAAGCCGCGGGGUGGAGCGAGCUGAGGCUGGAGGAGGUGACUCUCAGGGACGUCAACCCCGUGCAUGUGUCGUACAGAAUUGUGGCGGGCGGAGACGAAGGGCUCGUCGUCGUUAUGCCUGACGGCGAUGGUUUCCUCGUCACGGCGACUAUUCCGAAGUAG
rnacentral:rRNA from 1 species